rnacentral:rRNA from 1 species
UAAGGAAUAUUGGACAAUGCCCGCAAGGGUGAUCCAGCCAUGCCGCGUGCAGGAAGACGGCCCUCUGGGUUGUAAACUGCUUUUAUUCGGGAAUAAACCUAUCUACGUGUAGAUAGCUGAAUGUACCGAAUGAAUAAGGAUCGGCUAACUUCGUGCCAGCAGCCGCGGUAAGACGAAGGAUGCAAGCGUUAUCCGGAUUCAUUGGGUUUAAAGGGAGCGUAGGUGGCCUUAUAAGUCAGUGGUGAAAUCUCUUCGCUUAACGAAGAAAUUGCCAUUGAUACUGUAGGGCUUGAGUAUAGUUGCCGGUGGCGAAAUAUGACAUGUAGUGGUGAAAUACAUAGAGAUGUCAUAGUACACCGAUUGCGAGGGCAGCUGGCGAAACUAUAACUGACACUGAGGCUCGAAAGUGCGGGGAUGAAAC